UUUCGCGAACAGGCGGCAUGCCUACACAUGCAGUCGUACGGAGAGUGGGGCAACUCACUCUCAGUGGCAAACGGGUGAGUAACGCGUGAAUAACCUGCCUUUGAGAAGGGGAUAACUGUCCGAAAGGAUAGCUAAUACCCUAUAUUGCCUUUUGUCACUAAGGCAAAAGGUGAAAGCGAGGCUGUCAAAGGCUUCGGCUCAAAGAGGGGUUCGCGUCCUAUCAGGUAGUUGGUGGGGUAAUGGCCUACCAAGCCAAUGACGGGUAGCUGGUCUUAGAGGAUGAUCAGCCACAGUGGGACUGAGACACGGCCCGCACCCCUACGGGGGGCAGCAGUGGGGAAUCGUGGGCAAUGGGCGCAAGCCUGACCCCGCAAUGCCGCGUGAGGGAAGAAGCCCUUCGGGGUGUAAACCUCUGUCAGAUGGGAAGAUGGGACUAGGGGCUAAUACCUCCUGGUCUUGACGGUACCAUCAGAGGAAGGGACGGCUAACUACGUGCCAGCAGCCGCGGUAAU
rnacentral:rRNA from 1 species